AACUCUCAAACCGUCAUCUUUUAUGGGAUGUUCGGGCUUGGAUUUGGAUGUUGCUGGGUCUAACGACUCGGCUCGUCUUAAAAGCAUUAGCUGUCUCUCACGACUUCAGUUAACGGUGUGAUAAUUACAUCUACGCCGAAGCCUUCGGGCGCUGAGUCGGGUUAAAGCGGCUUCUAACCGUCUUCGGACAAUUUCAUUUUCAC
rnacentral:misc_RNA from 2 species